GCCGAGCGCUAGACCCUGGCACACAGCGCAGACGGCGCGCUGCUUCAGUCGGGCUGCGUGAGGGGGGACGGAGCGCAGGUGCGUCUUCCUCGCAGAUGGCGACAGAGGCAGGCUGGUGACUGGGAGGCUGACCGACAGCAGUGCCGAACACCUCCUGCAGCUCCAGAGGACGUGUCCAGGAAAUUGGAGCAGGAUGAGAUGCUGAAAGCAGGGGUCCAGGUGGUGCUUCUGAGCCCCCUCCCCUAUUCAGCACCAAGUUUCUGGAGGUGCAGCAUCGGACCGCUCUCACCAAGCCCCACCUCUUCAGCCAAAGUUCUUCCGGGAGGUGGUCGGAGUGGAACGCCUUUUGGGGGAGCGUCAGCUUGCUGGGAUCUUCCAAAUAUUACAGACCCCUUCGGCUCCUCACUCCACAGUGACUAUAGUGCAUCUCUCCCAGGAAUGCUCCCCUGUGGCCUCUCACCAUGUUUCCUAGCCGUUUCCUCUUAUGCUCUGCAUUAGGAUCUGCUUCUCGUCUUACCCCGUACUUCUCCCCCUGCCCAGCUUCUGUGUCUCCAUCAGUCUUGCUCCUACCAUCUGCUCCUUCCCUACCCUUACGUUCUCCUGCUUUACUCUUGGCCUUGGAGCCUCUCCUCCCACUGCCCCUCGUCUCACGCGGCUAAGUGAUUUGCCUGCGGGGGCCCUGGCCGCCCUCUCCAUCCUCCCCUUUGCCCACAUCUCCCGCUGUGUCCUAUGGCUUUUUAUUCCUACGUGAUGGUAGUCUGGGCUCAUGUAGGGAUGAAAGCCACUAAACACACGGUGAGAGGUCAGCGUGAUCGGUGGGGCGAGAUGCUCCUCUGGAAGAUGCUCCACAUUUCAGCACCAAGGUCCGCCGCACUGCAUUAUGGGCCGCCUGGGCAGAGCGGGAUGUCGCUGCUGCCUGAAAAUAAAUGGUUAACCUCGCAGCACAGCAAGUAAAGCAGGUUCUCGUUUUCCUUACUGUCGCGCGGCGGUGUUAGGAAACAAUGUAAAUCUGUGUAAGAAUAAUGUGAUGGCAGAACUUUACACUGGUUGUCGCAUUACUCAACACCAGGCCACUAUGACUCAAUUCUGUCGGCAACAGACAUGAAAUGGGCAUUCAGGGACAGUCAGGCUACCCUGAGGCCAUUCAUCUUAGCUCAUAGGCUGCAACAACAUUCAACGGGGGCCAUUAACGGCCAACUCACUUUUCCGGUUGGGCUGUAGGCAGCAACCAGAAGCUUACAGACUGAUAUUUGAAAAAGUGCAACUUCUGAACAACGGGCAGUGAAGUAUAGCACUGUAUACAGUGUAAUUCAGCUCAGAGAGCAGUAUCAUCAGUAAACUAAUAAUGAUUUUCUGUUUCAGAACAUCCCUACAGUUUUCUGCUCCUUUGGUUACUAUUAUGUCUGUGAUGUGGGCUUCACCUCAUGUUGAUUUUAUAGCAGCCGAACUGUAAAUGUAAGCUUUUGAGUGAGCUUGUAAAACAUGUUAUUUGAAUGGCUUUUUAUGACAUAAAGGAAUUAUGGAAAAAAAAAAACACAAUUCACAUUAGCUAAUAAUUGUUCCACCUGAAUUACAGCCAGGAAUAUUUAGACUCAUUACUUUCUCUCGCUCAGAGCAAUAUUAAUGGUUUUCAUGGGCAUCUUUUGUGCAAACUAAAAGCCAAACGCAGGUCCGCCUGAAGUCAAUCGUGUGUUCCACCCUAGCCGGCUUCCUGCUGGCUCUGAAUAUUUCCCACAGCAGGAAUCCUGGGCCUCCUGUUUACCACCUUUGUUUUUAUCCGUUUCAUUUUGUUCCAUAGGCAUUGGCAAAAAAGAAAACGGUUUACUUUGAAUUUCACUGUCAUUAUAUUUGAAUUUCAUCCUCUCCUUUGGAUCUUGGUAUUUUCAAUAAAGGAUCCUUCCCUUGUUUUUUGCUCUAC